AGUGAACGCUGGCGGUAGGCCUAACACAUGCAAGUCGAACGGCAGCACAGUAAUAGCUUGCUCUUACGGGUGGCGAGUGGCGGACGGGUGCGGAAUACCUCGGAAUCUACUUUUUCGUGGGGGAUAACGUAGGGAAACUUACGCUAAUCCCGCUUACGACCUACGGGUGAAAGCAGGGGAUCUUCGGACCUUGCGCGAUUGAAUGAGCCGAUGUCGGAUUAGCUAGUUGGCGGGGUAAAGGCCCACCAAGGCGACGCUCCGGAGCUGGUCUGAGAGGAUGAACAGCCAAAAUGGAAAUUAGACACGGUCCAGACUCCUACGGGAGGCAGCAGUGGGGAAAAUUGGACAAUGGGCGCAAGCCUGAUCCAGCCAUACCGCGUGGGUGAAGAAGGCCUUCGGGUUGUAAAGCCCUUUUGUGGGGAAAGAAAAGCAGCAGGUUAAUACCCCGCUGUUCUGACGGUACCCAAAAAAUAAGCACCGGCUAACUUCGUG
rnacentral:rRNA from 1 species